GAGAGAGAGAGAGAUUGAGAGAGAUUGAGAGAGAUUGAGAGAGAUUGAGAGAGAUUUGGAACACCAUAGCCCACCCCCCAGUGACACACUUCCUCCAACGAGGCCACACCUCCUAAUCCCUGUCAAGCAUCACCACUCCAAGCGUUUAAUCUAUGAGCCUAUGGGGGCCAUUCCUAUUCAAACCACUUAGCUUCUGAACCAGGUGUUGGGGGGAUCUCAGUAAGUGGAUCAGAAAUUGAGCUCUUGCUUCCCUUUUUGAUUUGGAGCUUGCUGAAGUCAGAAGGGCUCGCUUAUCUUACCGGCCACCCGUCAGGAGCCAUGUAGAGAAAGUUGGAAAAUGCUUUUGCUUUUAAGGACGAAGUGGAAUUUGUUAAUUGAGGUUAUUUUGCCCAGGCAUCUAACAACAGCUUCUGUGGCCAGUUGUGAACCACUGAUAGCCCAGAUAAGGCUUGGACCAGAAACACGGACCUGUCAUCAAGGGAUGCUUACUACAUGAUUUUAUACGUGAGACGUCCUUCGUGUGGCCAGUGAGGUUCAGGGACCGCAAGAAACCGCAGUCCCUAAGAUGAGAACGGCGUGGUAGUUCUUCUGCUGGGGGCAAUUUUCUCAGUGGGGUCCUGGCACGGGCUCCCUCUUCAUGGUGACUCCUUUCCUACAGUUGGCAUUUGGAUGGGUGGAGCUGUAGGAACUAACGCUCCCUGAGUUCUUCCUGACCAAGCACAGGCAUUGUAAUUUGGAACUCUCAGUUGUCUUUUUCAGACACAUCUGUCAUUACGUCCUCACACCUAGUUCAACAUGUUUAUGGAGCAGAUAUUUACAUUUUGGAUGAAUCGAUGCGGGCUCUCAAGGAAAGGCCCUUUUGUGAUUAUUUGAGUCUUGAGCCAGCUGGCUGCUUCCUUUCCGCCCCUGUGCCCUCCCCUGUAAAGUGACACAUUUCUUAGAAAGAAUGACUGACAGACGGGCUCUGGGAUUCAGACUUAAAUAUUGGGCAGGCAUGUUCUGAAAAAUGAGAACCCUCAAUGUGACCCUUCAAGGGAAACAAUGACAGUGUUUAUGGUGCAUGAUAAGAUUUGUGCCUUUAUGUGAGAGUUUGAAUUUUGGAAAGUUUGCCUCAGCGCCACCGUGGGUCUGGCAGCUUCACAAUGCUUCAAGGCGUUGCUGGCGGGAGCCACAGUGAUGGGAAUAGCUGUAGUUUUUUGACAUUGUACAAUGGAGGUGUCAGCACUUCAAAGAUUUGCUGGGAUUGACCAAAAGACCAGUACGUGGUGUGACAGAAUUCAAAUUGCACAAAAGACUAACGGAAUUUGAUGUAAUAGUUUUAGAUUCCUCGUUGCAGCUAAGCAAUUGUUGAGGUUUGGCCAUCUCAAAUGCUAUUAAAAUCCACCUGCCUUUUUCCUUACAUGUCUUUGGGAGAUAGAAUUUUCUUGGGGCACUUAGACCAAAGUGCAUUUGUUAAUGUAUUUAAUAAGCACAUUGAUUUGAGAGUCACUCUUUCUCCCUACUUAGUUAGACUUGGGGAUCCAUCCUAUAUGCAGCCACCAAACCCAGUCACUGUUGCUGAUGCCAAGAAGUGCUUGCUGACAAGAGUAUGAUAUGGGUGUCUCCUGAGAGGCUCUGCCAGAGUCUUACUGAUACAGAUGAGGAUGCUUGCAUCUAACCAUCAGAUUGAGCAUGAGGACCCCAAUGGAGGAGUUAGAGAAAGGACUGAAGGAGCUGAGGGGGUUUGCAACCCCAUAGGAAGAACAACAAUACCAGCCAACCAGAUCCUCCAGAGCUCCCAGGGACUAAACCACCAACUAAAGUGUACACUUGGAGGGACCCAUGGCUCCAGCUGCAUAUGUAGCAUAGGAUGGCAUUAUCCAGCAUUAAUAAGAGGGAAAGCCCUUGGUCCUGUGAAGUCUUGAUUCCCCAGUGAAGGGGAAUGCCAGGGUGGUGAGGUGGGAAUGAGUGGGCGAGAGUGGGAGCAUCCUUAUAGAAGCAGAGGGAGGGGGAUGGGAGAGGGGGGAACCAGGAAAGGGGAUAACAUUUGAAAUGUAAAUACACAAAAUAUCCAAUAAAAAAAGAAGUGGAAAAAAAAAAGCAAAAUAGGAUCACAAAGCAGAAAACAGUGUUAUUUUUCCACUGGUUCUCUUGUUUGGAUAAAUACAUUUUUUAUAAAGAUAACACAUUAUUUUAUUAUGUAAUAUGUAUUAGUAAUUUUUAAAGAAUUCAUAGAUAUUAAGGAAAGAAUUAUUACCUUUAGUUGGUUAUAUGGUAAAUAGGUACACAUGUCAUCCACAUAAGUAGAGAUCUGAGGGGGUCCUUGAGAAUUUGCUAAGAAUACGUCAGAGGCUUCUAAGAGGAGAGAGCUGGCGAAGAGUCAGGAACGAAACCACACGAACUGCUGUCUUUCUGCUGAGCCAGUUUUCACUGAUGACACUUCAGAGUCUAACAGGUUUACACUUUCCCGCGGCUAUGGUAGCUGCACUGCAUGCAGAAGGUCCUCUGUAAGCAUGAACAGAUCUUACGUGCUCUUCAGCAGUGUUAUGGCAUGAUUCAUGUGGCAAGAGUGGACUCUAAAUACACGAGUGUGGUUCACCAGCUUAGCAGAUGUGCUUUUUAUAGGUAGAUAGACAGAUAAACAGAUAGACAGAUAGACAAGUAAAUAAUUUGUGGGGACUGUCUUAGCCGGUGGAUCCACCCACCCCACAUACCUUCCCUUCAACUUCAACUCCUCUUCGACCUUCCACCAACACAUACCCCUUCCAACAACAAAUUUUUCUCCUUCCUCUUCCUCUUUCUUCCUCUUCCUCCUUCUUCUUGCUUGAUUUGGUUUGCUUGAUCUGGUUAUUUUACAAGUUACAUAUUUCUUAAAAUUUAUUUUUCUUGGAUAUAUUAUGUAUUUAAAUUUCAAAUGCUAUCUCCCUUUCCCUCAUCCCAUCCCCUCCCCCUCCCCCUGCUUCUGUGAGGAUGCUCUCAUUCCCACUCACCCACUCCAACAUCAACGCCCUGGCAUUACCCUGCAUUGGUGAAACAAACCUUCACAGGCCCAAGGACAAUUCCUCCUACUGAUGUUGGACAACACCAUCCUCUGCCAUAUAAGUGACUGGAGUCACGAGUCCCUCCAUAUCUAUUCAUUGGUUGGUGUUUUAGUCCCUGGGAGCUCUGGUGGGUUCUGGUUAGUUGAUAUUGUUUAUGAGGUUGUAAACCUCUUCAGCUCCUUCAGUCUUUUCUCUAACUCCUUCACUGGGGUCCCCUUGUUCAAUUCAAUGGUUAGCUGCAACCAUCCUCAUCUAUAUCAGUAGAGCUCUGGCAGAGCCUCUCGGGAGACAACCAUAACUGGCUCCUGUCAGCAGGCACUUCUUGACAUCAGCAAUAGUGACUGGGUUUGGUGGCUGCCUAUGGGAUGGAUUCCCAGAUGCAGCAGUCUCUGGAUGACCUUUUCUUCAGUCCCUGCUCCACUCUUUUUUCCUGUAUUUCCUCCUGUGAGUAUUUUGUUCUCCUUCCUAAGAAGGAAGGACACAUCCACAUUUUGGUCUUCCUUCUUCUUGAGCUUCACAUAAUCUGUGAAUUUUUUUCUUAGGUGUGAGGAGCUGUCCUCACAGAUGUGAGGAGCUGUCCGAGGAGCUGUCCUCACAAACUCCAUUACAAGAUGGCACCGGCAUCCGGCAGAACGCACCUAGUAAAAAGGGCAAUACGCAGGCGCCUGGUAACUUCCCUACUCAAAGGGACACGUACGUUUUGGUACGUCAUCUGGCAUAAUUGGCAGCGACCAGUCAGAGAGUGACAUGUCCUAGACGAGGAUAGUUUCCUAUAUAAGGGACGGUUAUUCCUCACUCAGCGUCUCCGCAUUGUAAGCUUAUGCUCUCCCUCUCAAGACGCAGUAAAGCUUUUCUGUAGUAGGAUCCUGUGUGUGCCGCGUCGUUCCUGCUGGCGAGACGUAGCGCGGGACAUCUGGUGCCGAAAACCCGGGAAAGACCUCGCCAUCGUCAGCACCUUCGGAGAUCCCUUGGUGACAAGGAGGAUUCAGAACUGCAGGUAGAUACGUUCGGAGAGGCAGCCCUCUCUUGGACUUUGGUCUGGGGUUGUCACCGCCUUGGGAAGGAUUUGUUGAGGCUAUAGUAUUUGUCCUGGGAGCCACCCUACUCUUUAUGUUAUGUUUUCACCGUUUUCGCUGUUAAAAGGACGAUCACAGCAGCUGAAGGCGCGUCUCAGUCUCUCGUAUAUAAGUGAGCUUCACGCAGUUCCCUUUUACCUUCGAUUUUGACUGUUGAGGAACAAGGACGCGAUAAGGCCGACGUAGAUAAGCGGCACCGUCCGGGGAGGCGCGUGUAAGACUCCCAUACAUAAGAGAGCAGCGUGUCCGUCUCUACCCUUUCACCUCACGCCUUGUCAGACGGACGUAGAUAAGCCGCCGGCGUUCCUGGCCCAUCAUGGGAUCCUCACAGUCUGUGGUCACAGCCUUGGAAACAGUGUUAAAGCAGAGGGACAUCAAAAUUGGAGGAGGAACACUUAAAAACUUUGUGAAGGAGGUGGAGAGGGUGGUGCCUUGGUUUGCCUGUUCAGGCUCGUUUACGAUUGCCUCAUGGAACAAACUUGGAAAGACCUUGACAGAAAAUUGGCGGAAGAGGAUCUGCGCCUAGGGACCAAAGCUAUAUGGAAGCUGGUUAAGAAUUGUUUAAAGGAUGAAAUGUGUAAGGCAGCAGUAGUAGAAGGACAGGCCACUCUCAAGGUAGUCCGGGAAAGUCUGUCAGAAACCGAACGUAGUGAGAGGUUGGGCGCGCGCAAGAAAAAAGACGUCCUAAGAAAGAAAAAGUGCCCUCCCGGUAAGUCCGCAGACAAGGGAGCGUUGAAAGUUUCAGAUUCCAGCACUUCCUCCUCUACACAUAAACCAGGAGGGGGAUCCAGCCUAUACCCUGUGAAAGAGCUAGAAGCGCUGAACCUCGACAGUUCUGAAAGCUCUGAAAAUAAAACCUUAGACUCAGGGGAGGAGGCCGAGCUAGUGCUGUUAGUAUUCUUGAAACCGCCGGUAUAAUUAAAACCACUAGUAAGGUGGCAGAUAUUUUCCGAAAAAUCCAAAUUAUCCUAUUAAAUAGAAGAUUCCCUGUAUACAUUACUCAUAUACGGGCCCACUCUGGACUCCUUGGCCCAAUGAGUUCAGAGAAUGAUUUGGCUGACAAAGCCACAAAAAUGAUAGCUGUGGCCCUGGCCUCUCCUUUAGAGGCCGCUAAAGUCUUUCAUGGCAAUUUCCAUGUCACCUCAGAAACUUUACGCCGCCGCUUCUCUAUAACUAGAAAAGAGGCACGUGAUAUAGUCACCCAAUGCCAACAGUGCUGCCAGUUCCUCCCAGUUCCUCACAUCGGGGUCAACCCGAGAGGAAUACAGCCAUUGCAAAUCUGGCAAAUGGAUGUUACUCAUAAUUCUACUUUUGGAAAAUUACAGUAUGUGCAUGUAUCUAUAGACACAUGUUCUGGCAUUCUACAUGCCACCCCACUUAAAUCUUGAUGAAGCUGGACAAACAGCGGCUGAACGACAUUGCUCAGAGCCCAAGAGGACAAAAGAAUUAGUCAAAUGGAAGGAUGUAUUAACAAAUGAAUGGAAAGGCCCGGAUCCUGUUUUAAUAAGAUCCAGGGGAGCUGUCUGUGUUUUUCCACAGGACAAUGAAAAUCCCAUAUGGAUCCCAGGACGACUUACUUGGAGCAUCACAGCAAGUGAUCAAGAAGGGACUGGGACUCCUGCACCUCCUCACUCUUCUUCCAUGGAUGCCAGCAACGGUGCAGGGCGAGCUACGAUGGGGAAUAAUGUCAACCUUUCCACUCCCGAUGCCGGUGAUGUACCACUAACAGGGAUUUAGGGUUGGCCUAUUUACCUAAGGAUCCACAGGUUGAACGACUAAAAGAAAAUAGGACUAUUCCCCUUAAGGGCAGCCUUUGGCAUAUUCAACAAAACAUCUUUUGAUCUCCCUUGCAUUAUGUUAUGUAAUCAAUCUUCUGCUUGGUUAAGGGAGGCCACAUGGGGAACUGGUGAGGAGGACAUUGUGGCUAACGCCACAGUUCUCUAUGGUGGUGGCCUUACAUUGCGUUAAUGGUAGCUGCACUGAUCUUACGCCCAUGGCGAUGCUACUUGGAGGAAAGGGCGAAAAGGGACGGUUGUCAUUUUCCUGGAUGGGGAACAUCAAACCUGCUGCCUCUGUCUGGACAGCUACUCAUAUAAAAUAUCGCAGUAGUUACCCGCAUGCCUCGCUUUAUCCCGAUCCCUGUUGAUACCUCGGGGACCAUGACCUUAUUUAGAGGAAAAAGAGAUUUUGGUACUUCUGCUAUUAUUGCUGGCAUUAUUGCUACGACAGCAGUCGCUGCCUCGGUUACUGCCUCGGCAUUGGCCUUGUCAAAUACAGUACAGACAACCCAAACUAUCAAUGAUUUAUCGGCCACCAUCUCUGUGGCUCGGGACAGACAGGCCUCGGCCAAUACUCAGAUAUAGGGAGGCCUUAUGCUUGUCAACCAAUGUAUAGAUCUGGUCCGAGAGCAAUUAGACAUUCUAUGGCAACUGGCCCAGCUUGGCUGUGAGCAAAAGCUCCCAGGCCUUUGUGUCACCUCCAUAUAAUAUGAAAAAUUUACCCGAGCUGCUAAUCUGUCUAAGAGUCUUUCACAGCAUCUGUUACAGAAUUGGACCUCGGAGUUUGAACAGACACUUCGGGAGCUGAGAGCAACCAUCAUUCAAGUAAAUUCUACCCGACUGGACCUGUCUUUGACGAAGGGAUUGUCGUCCUGGAUCACCUCAGCAGUCUCUUAUUUCAAGGAAUGGGUGGGAGUGGGACUUUUUGGAGUGAUCCUCUGCUGUGGAUUAGUGUUACUCCUCUGGUUGCUUUGCAAAUUGAGAUCUCAAACAAGAAAGGACAAAGUAGUGAUUGCCCAGGCGCUUGUAGCCCUUAAACAAGGAGCGUCAGCCGAUAUCUGGUUGACCAUGCUCAAGCAACAGGUCGCCGGCUGGACAGCUCUUGCACUCCUAGAACCUCGGUUCAUUGCACAGGAUUAGAGUGUCCGGCUUGAGCAGCCCAUGAGGGGUGACGAGCUUAGCAUCACACAGGGAAGUUCUACCAAAUAUGCUCCCUGGAAGGCAUGUCAUAUUACAUGAGGGUUUCUGCCCCAGUUUUCCCUCCCUCGAAAAAUGGCAGUGCGACGGGUCGGGAGUGCCCUGGGUCCCAACAACAGCCUAAGGGUAUCUCUCUUGUACAGGUUCGCCAACUUUGUACGAGGAUAUGACCUCUGUCUUCGCCCUCCUAUAUCUGGGUGUCCUGUUUGCUUAAAAAAAACAGAAAAGGGGGAGAUGUGAGGAGCUGUCCUCACAGAUGUGAGGAGUUGUCCGAGGAGCUGUCCUCACAAACUCCAUUACAAGAUGGCACCGGCAUCCGGCAGAACGCACCUAGUAAAAAGGGCAAUACGCAGGCGCCUGGUAACUUCCCUACUCAAAGGGACACGUACGUUUUGGUACGUCAUCUGGCAUAAUUGGCAGCGACCAGUCAGAGAGUGACACGUCCUAGGCGAGGAUAGUUUCCUAUAUAAGGGACAAUUAUUCCUCACUCUCCGUCUCUGCAUUGUAAGCUUAUGCUCUCCCUCUCAAGACGCAGUAAAGCUUUUCUGUAGUAGGAUCCUGUGUGUGCCGCGUCGUUCCUGCUGGCGAGACAUAGCACGGGACACUUAGGUAUUCCCAGCUUUGGGGCUAAUAUCCUCUUAUCAGUGAAUGCAUACCUAAUGUGUGUUCUUUUGAGACUGGGUUACCUCACUCAGGAUGAUUUUUUUUUCUAGUUCCAUCCAUUUGCCUAAGAGUUCCAUGUAGCCAUUUUUUAAUAGCUGAGUAGUAUUACAUUGUAUAAAUGUACCACCUUUUCUGUAUCCAUUCCUCUGUUGAAGGACAUCUGGGUUCUUUCUAGCUUCUGGCUAUUAUAAAUAAGGCUGCUAUGAACAUAGUAGGGCAUGUGUCCUUGUUAUAUGUUGUAGCAUCUUUUGGGUAUAUGUCCAGGAGUGGUAUAGCUGGGUCCUCCAGUAGUACAAUGUCCAAUUUUCUGAGGAACUGCCAGACUGAUUUUCAGAGUGGUUGUACUAGCUUGGAAUCCCACCAACAAUGGAGGAGUGUUCCUAUUUCUCCACAUCCUCACCAGCAUCUACUGUCACCCUGAGUAUUGAUCUUAGCCAUUGAAGAGGUAUUUCUGGGUUGUUUUGAUUUGCAUUUGCAUUUCCCUGAUAACUAAGGAUGUCGAACAUUUCUUUAGGUGCUUCUUAGCCAUUCGGUAUUCCUUAGUUGAGAAUUUUUUGUUUAGUUCUGUACCACAUUUUUUAAUAGGGUUAUUUGGCUCUUUGGAGUCUAAUUUCUUGAGUUCUUGAAUAUAUAGAUAUUAGUCCUCUAUUGGAUGUAGGAUUGGUAAAGACCUAAUCCUUACCCAAUCUGUUGGUUGUUGUUUUGUCCUAUUGACAGUGUCCUUUGCCUUAAAGAAGCUUUGCAAUUUUAUGAGAUCCCAUUUGUUGAUUCUUGAUCUUAGACCAUAAACUAUUGGUGUUCUGUUCAGGAAAAUUUUCCCUGUGCCUAUGUGUUCAAGGCUCUUCCCCCUUUCUCUUCUGUUAGUUUCAGUGUAUCUGGUUUUAGAUGGAGGUCCUUCUUGCACUUGGACUUGAGCUUUGUACAAGAAGAUAAGAAUGGAUCGAUCUGCAUUCUUCUAUAAGCUGACCUGCAGUUGAACCAGCACCAUUUGUUGAAAAUGCAGUUUUCUUUCCUUGGGAUAGUUUUAGCUCCUCUGUCAAAGAUCGAGUGACCACAGGACACAGAUGCCUUUCCCUCGUGCAGUCAAAGAAAGAGAAGCUCUUUUAUAAGAGCAUGCGAUUCCACACAUGAGAAAAGAGUCCUCAUGACUGAUUCACUCCAAGAAGGUCCUACUUCGCAAUACUGCCAGAGCCUGGCCAUCAUCCAUUCCACUCAGACAGCACAUUGAGAGAGAUAAUAGAUGCUCGAUGUGGCAGAAUGGGUGACCAUCCUGUGGGCCACCUUUGUAUUGAAUUUUACAUCACUGCUAGGCGCAUUAGUAUAUAUGCUGCCUUUGACAUCAACUUGACACAAGCUGCAGUCAUCAGAGAGGAAUGAGGUUCAAUAGAGGACAUGUCUCCAUAAGGCUAACUUAAAACUCACAGUGUUGACCAAGAAGGCUUCAAAUUCAUGAUCUCCUUACCUGGCUACCCGAGUGCUGGGAUCCCAGGCAUGUAUCUGGCUCAGAACACACACUUUUUGAAGCAACUUAAGUGGCUGCACAUGGCCACGUGAAGCUUAUGGUGGUGCUGGUGAAGGUCUUACUAUGUAAAGCACCAUGCAAAGUUGUUGACAGAUCCUGAAAAGGAAUCCAGUUCCCAAGUCUUCCGAGGACCCAGCUAUACCACCCCUGGGCAUAUACCCAAAAGAUGCUCUAACAUAUAACAAAGACACAUGCUCCACUAUGUUCAUAGCAGCCUUAUUUAUAAUAGCCAGAAGCUGGAAAGAACCCAGAUGUCCUUCAACAGAGGAAUGGAUACAGAAAAGGUGGUACAUUUACAGCUAUUAAAAACAAUUACUUCAUGAAAUUCAUAGGCAAAUGGAUGAAACUAGACAAUAUAAUCCUGAGUGAGGUAACCCAAUCACAAAACAGUAGUCAUGGUAUGCACUCACUGAUAAGUGAAUAUUAGCCCAAAACCUCAGAUUACCCAAGAUACAAUCCACAGACCACAUGCAGCUCAAGAAGAAGGACGACCAAAGUGUGAAUGCUUCAGUCGUUCUUAGAAGGGGGAACUAAAAUAUCCAUAGGAGGAAAUACGGAGACAAAGUUUGGAGUAGAGACUGAAGGAAUGGCCAUUCAGAGCCUGCCCCACCUGGGGAUCCAGCCCAUAUACAUACAGUCACCAAACCCAGACAAUAUUGCUGAUGCCAAGACGUGCAUGCUGACAGGAGCCUGAUAUAGCUGUCUCCUGAGAGGCUCUGCCAGAGCAUGACAAACACAGAGGGAAAUGUUCACAGCCAACCAUUGAACUGAGAAUGGGGUCCCCAUUGGAGGAGUUAGAGAAAGGAUUGAAGGAGCUGAUGGGGUUUGUAACACCAUAAGAACAACAAUGCCAACCAACCAGAGCUUCCAGGGACUAAACCACCACCCAAAGACUACACAUGGACAGACCCAUGGCUCCAGCUGCAUAGUAGCAGAGGGUGGCCUUGUUGGGCACCAAAGGAAGGAGAAGCCAAGGCUGGACCUUCCCCCCCUCACCCCCACAGUGUAAGGGAAUGUCAGGGCAGGGAGGCGGGAAGGGGUGAGUGGUUGGGGGAAAGGAGAUAACAUUUGAAAUGUAAAUAAAAAAUCCAGUAAAAUAUAUUAUAAUUUAAAAAAAGAAAUAAUAAUAAAAAAGAUUUUGAUUCGAGGGAGUAAUAUGCUAAUCGUGUUCAUUUUCUUCUCAUUCUUUCAGUAGUGGAGACUCCAGGUUCUAGUUGGAGCUCUAGGUCAGGUAUGCAAUUGAGUUCUCUACAGUGUGAGGUGAGCUGCAAGUUUCUUACUUACAUGUUUUAAAAAGCAGGGGGUGGCUCUAUAUUGCCUUUACAUCUUCUAGGUGGAGUAAAGAUAGAUGUUGUAGAUGAGAACAGUGUUCCUGGAAGUGCUGGGGAACACAUAGAAAAGUACACUUGGGAAAGUAAAUUUGGCUUUAUGUAAGUCGGACUUUUAAGACUGAAAGAGAAAGAAAGGGAGGGAGAUGAGAAGCUAGCAGAAGUCAUUAUCAUGACCAGGAUCACCAUGUUUCUGGGUCACUCGGGGUGCACAGAGCAGUGAAGUUUCUGUUCUGACUGCUCACAACCCCUGUGGGUCUCUGCUAAGGGGACUAUGUUUCACUUUAGAGCGAGAGAUUACACUCUAGGAAUAGUAACUGUGUAACAGUAAACAGCUGUGUCUUAAUUACUGCAAGUCCUUUAAGUUUCCACAUUUGUAACUUUUUCAUUGGGUGAGGGGUGUGUGCAACACAGAAAGUACUGAAAGGGAAGGAAAAUGGAGGAUGGCUUCUUUAACACCGGUUCCCAAGAUAGCGGAUAAAAGCCAACUUCACAUUAUAGUUAUGUUAGUACACUCUGUGCUCUCAGCAUUAGAGCUCAUUUUUAUUUAUUUCUAUUUUUAAAAUUAAUUAAUUAACUUUCAUGUGGAACUUAGAUGCCUCUGCUGGGCCUGGAACGAUGGCCCAGUGAUUAAGAGCACGUGCUGCUCUUCGGGAGAGCCAGGACCCGCAUACCAGGUAGCUCACAAGUGCUUGCAACUUCAGCUCUGGAAGUUAUGAUGCCCCCUUCUGGCCUGUAGAGGUAACUGUACACACGGCAAAGAUGCCCGCACAUGGAUAAAUAACUUAAAAUAUUUUAAAAAAAAGUCUGUGCUGUGGCCAUUAAAACCUAGUACAACAAAGCAAACUAUGGUCAGCAAUAAACAAUGUUGGCGUGCUUUCCCACAUAAAUAGGGAGUAUAUUGGGAAACUGACCUGUGCACGGGGAAUUUAGUAUGUCAGGUAUAGGAGAUCAUAUAAGCCCUGGGGAUAAGAAUAUGGGUAUUUUGCACUGGACAUGAUGGCCCAUGGCCACUAAAGCACCUUCUUUAAAGAGAUGUACCCUUUGCAUUUGCCAGUGCAACGGUGCUGCUUUGCUGGAAGAGAAUGGGGAAGCUGUGGGGACCCCUAGGAAACUCCCCACUGACAUAUUUAGUCUGCGGCCUGUGGGUCUCAGUCAGUCAGUCACCUGGGAAGGAGUUUUGCAUCUGUCAGCCAGGGUAGCCUAAGGGAGCCGGAGCAGGUGUGGCACAGCCCAGACUUCCGGUUUAUGGCCGGAUGCAGGCUUGGUUUGUUGGUCUCACUACCCUGCUUGGUGCAUCUGGGAUGGUAAAUAGUGCAGUGAUUAAUUCAGAAACUGCAAACGGAAAGUGUUAUGAGGUUUGCCUCUGAGCUUUACAUCAACAUGAAAGGUUGAGUUCUCAUUUGCUCCCCGAGGGGAAUGUAAAGGAAUCCUCUGGGUCUCUGCCCAGGUCGAUUUUAUCAUCCUCUACCAAAACGUGUGCAUAAAUACAUUGCCAGGACUUCCGGUAGUGCCGUUGUGGUUUCAACCAUUAUUGUUUUCCCCAGAAAUAUCAGACAAAAUUACUCUUUUCCAUCCAUUUACUCAUUUAUUCACUUUAUAUCACAGCCCCUCCCUCCUCUCCUCCCAGUCGGGACCUCCCACUCCCUUCUCCUAGUACCUGGGUACCAACCCACCCUGGCACAUCGAGUCACACCAGUACUAAGUGCAUUCUCUCCCACAAGGCAGCUCAGCAGGGUAAAGGGAUCCAAAGGCAGGCAACAGAGUCUGAGUCAGAGACAGUCCCUGCUCCAGUUGUUGGGUGACCCACGUGAAGACAAGCUGCACAUCUACUAUGUAUGUGUGUGUCCCCUACCCAGGCCCAGUCCAUGCAUGCUCUUUGGUUGGUGCUUCAGUCUCUGUGGGCCCCCAUGGUUCCAGUUAGUUGGCUCUGUAGGUCUCCUUGUGGUGUCCUUGACCUCUCUGGCUCCCUCAAUCCUUCCCACCCCAAUCCCGAAUCUUCCAGAAGACUCCCUGAGCUCUCUGCCUGAUGUUUGGCUGUAAGUCUCUGCAUCUGUUUCCAUCAGUUGCUGGCUAGAGCCUCUCAGAUGACAAUCGUGGUAAGCUCCUGUCUGCAAGCAUAGCAGAGUAUCAUUAACAAUGUCAGGGGUUGGUUCUCUCCCAUGGGGUGGGUCUCAAGUUGGGGCAGUCAUUUG